CCUAUGGGAUGCAGCAGUGAGGAAUUUUGGACAAUGGGGGCAACCCUGAUCCAGCGACGCCGCGUGAAGGAUGAAGGUCUUCGGAUUGUAAACUUCUUUUAUCUGGGAAUAAGAAACUUAUGGAAACAUAGGGAGUGAAUGUACCAGGUGAAUAAGCAACGGCUAACUUCGUGCCAGCAGCCGCGGUAAUACGAAGGUUGCAAGCGUUACUCGGAAUUACUAGGCGUAAAGGGCAGGUAGGUGGUUUGGUAAGUCUAUUGUGAAAGCUCCUGGCUUAACUGGGAGAGGUCAAUAGAUACUGCCGGACUUGAGUAUAGGAGAGGUUACUGGAAUUCCCGGUGUAGCGGUGAAAUGCGCAGAGAUCGGGAGGAACACCAAUGGCGAAAGCAGGUAACUGGACUAUUACUGACGCUAAGCUGCGAAAGCUAGGGGAGCAAACAGGAUUAGAUACCCAAGUAGUCC
rnacentral:rRNA from 1 species